rnacentral:rRNA from 1 species
UGGGGAAUCUUGGACAAUGGGCGCAAGCCUGAUCCAGCAAUGCCGCGUGGGUGAAGACGGCCUGCGGGUUGUAAAGCCCUUUUGGCGGGGAAGAAAGCCCUGGGUUAAACAGACUCAGGGGGUGACGUUACCCGCUGAAGAAGCACCGGCCAACUCCGUGCCAGCAGCCGCGGUAAUACGGAGGGUGCGAGCGUUAAUCGGAAUUACUGGGCGUAAAGCGCACGUAGGCGGUGAGUUAAGUCAGUUGUGAAAGCCCUGGGCUCAACCUGGGAACGGCAAUUGAUACUGACCGACUGGAGUGUAACAGAGGACCGUGGAAUUCCCGGUGUAGCGGUGAAAUGCGUAGAGAUCGGGAAGAACACCGAUGGCGAAGGCAGCGGUCUGGGUUAACACUGACGCUGAGGUGCGACAGCGUGGGGAGCAAACAGGAUUAGAUACCCUGGUAGUCCACGCCGUAAACGAUGAGAACUAGACGCUGGGUGGGUAACUGCUCGGUGUCGGAGCUAACGCGUUAAGUUCUCCGCCUGGGGAGUACGGCCGCAAGGUUA